AUCUACUGUUGAAUAUCUAUCAACAAACAAUCUUGCUUUUAGAGAAAGCGUUGAGAAAUUAUUCCAGCCCAAAAAUGGCAAUUUUUUGGGCCUGGUACAACUGCUGGGAAAAUUUGACACAGUGAUGAACCACUGGUUGCUAUUUUGGAAGAAGCCAGAGAUCCAAAAGCUAAAAGUGAAGCACAGUCAUUGGCCUCUGAAAUAUCCAGCUUCAAGUUUCUAACAUCUGUCGUAAUCUGGUAUGACGUUCUUGUUAAAAUCUCAAGUGUAAGCAAAAUAAUGCAGAGUCCAAUGAUGCAGCCUGAUUCAACACUUACCUUACUAAACAACACACGAGACUUUUUAGUGAAAUACAGAGAAAAUGGAUUCAAAGAAGCACAGGUUACAGCAAGAGAGCUUGCACAGGCACUCCGUGUAG